UACGAAGGGUGGAAGCGUUACUCGGAAUUACUGGGCGUAAAGCGUGCGUAGGUGGUUUGUUAAGUCUGUUGUGAAAGCCCCGGGCUCAACCUGGGAAUGGCAAUGGAUACUGGCAAGCUAGAGUGCGGUAGAGGGUAGUGGAAUUCCCGGUGUAGCGGUGAAAUGCGCAGAUAUCGGGAGGAACACCGGUGGCGAAGGCGGGUCUCUGGGCCGAUACUGACGCUGAGGAGCGAAAGCGUGGGGAGCGAACAGG
rnacentral:rRNA from 1 species